rnacentral:rRNA from 1 species
AUGCCUGGAAAGACAUAUCCAUUGCUGCUUAGUUCCCUCACCAUCCUGCCGGAUGCAUUGAGCGCGGACGGGAUGGUGCGCCUCCCGACUUGCAGCACAGUUCCUUCUCCCAGGAGAACCCUCAGGCACUCCACUAGCAUGUAUCGUACAUGUCAAUCAGUUGCAGUUCCUACUAGUUGCUGCUGGAGGUUAGUGCAUCUGAUUGAACGGGGCAGAGAUGGUUCAUCAGGGUUAGAAACAGUUCUAGUCCAGAAGGAUGAUUCGCACAAUCAGUUGCGCAAUGAGAUUCGUUCUGCAAAUGUUCCAUCGGCCGACAUCCUAGCUGUAUCCUGUUUCUUCUUUUCACAUCCAAACGCUACUAAGGAGCAGGUGCAUCUGGUGCACCAGUUCUCCUGUUUUAAAGAAUACGCUCUCUGUCUGUAG